GCGAGUGAAGCGGCAACAGCUCAAAUUUGAAAGCCCGCGGGCGUUGUAAUUUGCAGGCGGAUGUUUUGGGGCGGGCGCUGUCUACGUUCCUUGGAACAGGACGCCGCAGAGGGUGAGAGCCCCGUGCGAUGGCGCCUCCAACCGCGUAAAACUCCGCCGACGAGUCGAGUUGUUUGGGAAUGCAGCUCCAAGUGGGUGGUAAAUUCCAUCUAAAGCUAAAUACUGGCGAGAGACCGAUAGCGAACAAGUACAGUGAUGGAAAGAUGAAAAGCACUUUGAAAAGAGAGUGAAACAGCACGUGAAAUUGUUGAAAGGGAAGGGUAUGCGAUUAGCGGCCAGCAGGAGGUGCCUUCUCGUGAAAAGGCCGUGCACCGUCUUCGGACACCGUGCGCGGAGAUGGCGAGGGGGCGCCUGAGGUCUGCGACUCGAGGUUGCUGGCGUAAUGAUUGCAUACCACCCGUCU
rnacentral:rRNA from 1 species